CACGUAGGCGGAUGUGUCAGUCAGGGGUGAAAUCCCGGAGCUCAACUUCGGAACUGCCCUUGAUACAGCACGUCUUGAGUCCGGAAGAGGUGGGUGGAAUUCCUAGUGUAGAGGUGAAAUUCGUAGAUAUUAGGAAGAACACCGGUGGCGAAGGCGGCCCACUGGUCCGGUACUGACGCUGAGGUGCGAAAGCGUGGGGAGCAAACA
rnacentral:rRNA from 1 species